GGGUUGUGAGGUUAAGCGACUAAGCGUACACGGUGGAUGCCCUGGCAGUCAGAGGCGAUGAAGGACGUGCUAAUCUGCGAUAAGCGUCGGUAAGGUGAUAUGAACCGUUAUAACCGGCGAUUUCCGAAUGGGGAAACCCAGUGUGUUUCGACACACUAUCAUUAACUGAAUCCAUAGGUUAAUGAGGCGAACCGGGGGAACUGAAACAUCUAAGUACCCCGAGGAAAAGAAAUCAACCGAGAUUCCCCCAGUAGCGGCGAGCGAACGGGGAGCAGCCCAGAGCCUGAAUCAGUGUGUGUGUUAGUGGAAGCGUCUGGAAAGGCGCGCGAUACAGGGUGACAGCCCCGUACACAAAAAUGCACAUGCUGUGAGCUCGAUGAGUAGGGCGGGACACGUGGUAUCCUGUCUGAAUAUGGGGGGACCAUCCUCCAAGGCUAAAUACUCCUGACUGACCGAUAGUGAACCAGUACCGUGAGGGAAAGGCGAAAAGAACCCCGGCGAGGGGAGUGAAAAAGAACCUGAAACCGUGUACGUACAAGCAGUGGGAGCACGCUUAGGCGUGUGACUGCGUACCUUUUGUAUAAUGGGUCAGCGACUUAUAUUCUGUAGCAAGGUUAACCGAAUAGGGGAGCCGAAGGGAAACCGAGUCUUAACUGGGCGUUAAGUUGCAGGGUAUAGACCCGAAACCCGGUGAUCUAGCCAUGGGCAGGUUGAAGGUUGGGUAACACUAACUGGAGGACCGAACCGACUAAUGUUGAAAAAUUAGCGGAUGACUUGUGGCUGGGGGUGAAAGGCCAAUCAAACCGGGAGAUAGCUGGUUCUCCCCGAAAGCUAUUUAGGUAGCGCCUCGUGAAUUCAUCUCCGGGGGUAGAGCACUGUUUCGGCAAGGGGGUCAUCCCGACUUACCAACCCGAUGCAAACUGCGAAUACCGGAGAAUGUUAUCACGGGAGACACACGGCGGGUGCUAACGUCCGUCGUGAAGAGGGAAACAACCCAGACCGCCAGCUAAGGUCCCAAAGUCAUGGUUAAGUGGGAAACGAUGUGGGAAGGCCCAGACAGCCAGGAUGUUGGCUUAGAAGCAGCCAUCAUUUAAAGAAAGCGUAAUAGCUCACUGGUCGAGUCGGCCUGCGCGGAAGAUGUAACGGGGCUAAACCAUGCACCGAAGCUGCGGCAGCGACGCUGAUGCGUUGUUGGGUAGGGGAGCGUUCUGUAAGCCUGCGAAGGUGUGCUGUGAGGCAUGCUGGAGGUAUCAGAAGUGCGAAUGCUGACAUAAGUAACGAUAAAGCGGGUGAAAAGCCCGCUCGCCGGAAGACCAAGGGUUCCUGUCCAACGUUAAUCGGGGCAGGGUGAGUCGACCCCUAAGGCGAGGCCGAAAGGCGUAGUCGAUGGGAAACAGGUUAAUAUUCCUGUACUUGGUGUUACUGCGAAGGGGGGACGGAGAAGGCUAUGUUGGCCGGGCGACGGUUGUCCCGGUUUAAGCGUGUAGGCUGGUUUUCCAGGCAAAUCCGGAAAAUCAAGGCUGAGGCGUGAUGACGAGGCACUACGGUGCUGAAGCAACAAAUGCCCUGCUUCCAGGAAAAGCCUCUAAGCAUCAGGUAACAUCAAAUCGUACCCCAAACCGACACAGGUGGUCAGGUAGAGAAUACCAAGGCGCUUGAGAGAACUCGGGUGAAGGAACUAGGCAAAAUGGUGCCGUAACUUCGGGAGAAGGCACGCUGAUAUGUAGGUGAAGUCCCUUGCGGAUGGAGCUGAAAUCAGUCGAAGAUACCAGCUGGCUGCAACUGUUUAUUAAAAACACAGCACUGUGCAAACACGAAAGUGGACGUAUACGGUGUGACGCCUGCCCGGUGCCGGAAGGUUAAUUGAUGGGGUUAGCGCAAGCGAAGCUCUUGAUCGAAGCCCCGGUAAACGGCGGCCGUAACUAUAACGGUCCUAAGGUAGCGAAAUUCCUUGUCGGGUAAGUUCCGACCUGCACGAAUGGCGUAAUGAUGGCCAGGCUGUCUCCACCCGAGACUCAGUGAAAUUGAACUCGCUGUGAAGAUGCAGUGUACCCGCGGCAAGACGGAAAGACCCCGUGAACCUUUACUAUAGCUUGACACUGAACAUUGAGCCUUGAUGUGUAGGAUAGGUGGGAGGCUUUGAAGUGUGGACGCCAGUCUGCAUGGAGCCGACCUUGAAAUACCACCCUUUAAUGUUUGAUGUUCUAACGUUGACCCGUGAUCCGGGUUGCGGACAGUGUCUGGUGGGUAGUUUGACUGGGGCGGUCUCCUCCUAAAGAGUAACGGAGGAGCACGAAGGUUGGCUAAUCCUGGUCGGACAUCAGGAGGUUAGUGCAAUGGCAUAAGCCAGCUUGACUGCGAGCGUGACGGCGCGAGCAGGUGCGAAAGCAGGUCAUAGUGAUCCGGUGGUUCUGAAUGGAAGGGCCAUCGCUCAACGGAUAAAAGGUACUCCGGGGAUAACAGGCUGAUACCGCCCAAGAGUUCAUAUCGACGGCGGUGUUUGGCACCUCGAUGUCGGCUCAUCACAUCCUGGGGCUGAAGUAGGUCCCAAGGGUAUGGCUGUUCGCCAUUUAAAGUGGUACGCGAGCUGGGUUUAGAACGUCGUGAGACAGUUCGGUCCCUAUCUGCCGUGGGCGCUGGAGAACUGAGGGGGGCUGCUCCUAGUACGAGAGGACCGGAGUGGACGCAUCACUGGUGUUCGGGUUGUCAUGCCAAUGGCACUGCCCGGUAGCUAAAUGCGGAAGAGAUAAGUGCUGAAAGCAUCUAAGCACGAAACUUGCCCCGAGAUGAGUUCUCCCUGACCCUUUAAGGGUCCUGAAGGAACGUUGAAGACGACGACGUUGAUAGGCCGGGUGUGUAAGCGCAGCGAUGCGUUGAGCUAACCGGUACUAAUGAACCGUGAGGCUUAACCUUACAACGCCGAAGCUGUU
rnacentral:rRNA from 1 species